GUGCCAGCCGCCGCGGUAAUACGGAGGGUGCAAAGCGUUAAUCGGAAUUACUGGGCGUAAAGCGCACGCAGGCGGUCUGUCAAGUCGGAUGUGAAAUCCCCGGGCUCAACCUGGGAACUGCAUUCGAAACUGGCAGGCUAGAGUCUUGUAGAGGGGGGUAGAAUUCCAGGUGUAGCGGUGAAAUGCGUAGAGAUCUGGAGGAAUACCGGUGGCGAAGGCGGCCCCCUGGACAAAGACUGACGCUCAGGUGCGAAAGCGUGGGGAGCAAACAGGAUUAGAUACCCUGGUAGUCCACGCCGUAAACGAUGUCGACUUGGAGGUUGUGCCCUUGAGGCGUGGCUUCCGGAGCUAACGCGUUAAGUCGACCGCCUGGGGAGUACGGCCGCAAGGUUAAAACUCAAAUGAAUUGACGGGGCCCGCACAAGCGGUGGAGCAUGUGGUUUAAUUCGAUGCAACGCGAAGAACCUUACCUACUCUUGACAUCCAGAGAACUUAGCAGAGAUGCUUUGGCGUCCUUCGGGAACUCGUGAGACAGGUGC
rnacentral:rRNA from 1 species